AUCUCUUGCUGGAGAUUCCUCCUUGAUGAAGCUUUCCCCUGUGAACCUGGAAUCUUCUGAUACGGGCUAUAUUGAAAUGUUUGUCUUUAAAAAGAAAUGAAGUACAUUCAGCCCACUUGGGUAGAAGACUACUCAAUUUCUGCUAGAAAAGAAACAUUUCUGCAUGAAAAGUUCACCCUUCACCCAUUUGCAUGAGCUGUAUGAGCUAUAGGAACUGCCUCUGCCUGGAUAGCUGGGACAGUGGAAAGAGAAUUCAGCAUUUAAGUCUUGCAGCAUGGAGCAUGAUCACGAAGGCUGAUUCUGCUGCCAGGAUUUCUACAAAGAAGGAAGAGCAAGAUGCUGUUGAGAAACCUGAAGAAAUGUAUCCAAGCUCUGAUCGUUUUCAACUGAUUAAAAAAAGAAAAAAAGCUGUAAGUAGCUGCAGCUUACUUGGAUGCUGCCUGGAAGAGUUUGUAGAAGCGCUGCUGUCUUAAGGCAACAGAGAAGGCUGGAGCUGAGACUUGGCAAUGUGUAAGCUCUGGGAGUCUCUGUAGGAGCUGAAAGCCACAUAUUGCUGGAUGCCUUCAUCUCUGUGGCUUUUGUGAUGUUGUACCAGGAAUGGUGCUGUAAGCAGCCCUCUGACAGCUUCUCUGGUGUGUGAAUUCCUGAGCCGUGCUGUGCCCAUGGCCAUACUUCUGUGGGGCUCUGCUGUUCUCACUGGAGGAGCUCGGGUACAAGCUUCUCUCUAUGACUGAAAAAUAUUUGAUGGAAAAGGGUUGAGACCCAAUCAUGGGAUGUCAGUGUAGCUGUAGCCUUGGCCAGGCAGAAGUUCUUCUGUCAUGCCAAUGUCAAACCCCUGGUCCGUAGACCUCGUAGAAAUUCAGAUGGAGAUCCGCGGGUGAAGCCUUAGGCUGUCCUUGAUUUAUCUUCCAGAUUUAAAAGCGAAAAAUGAUAGUCCCAAUAUCUCCAUCAGCUAGCACAGAGACUGCUUUCUUUUUGGUGCUGGUUGAGGGAUGUAUACAGCUGUGCACGGGCCUCUAAGCCUAACAAAGAUCCUUCCAAAUAAUGGCCAGAUGAGGGUGGUUUAACCCAUGAUCUGCAGCACUCAGCACUGCAGACUAAGGCUUAAAAUGACAUGAGGAACAACAUUGCAACUGUGAAGGUCCAGAUCCCCUUUGCACUCCAAAUGACAACAGUUUUUUUUUUAUGCUUGUAACAUUUUAUGAUUUCCAAAAUGAAAGCUAUUGAUGGACGCUGAAGCUUUCUGAAAGGCUUUGGAGCAGAUGCCGAGCAAGGGUCUGAGGAAGGAUCAAGAUGCCAUUGCAUAAAGCUUGCCAAGCUGCUGCAGAUAUCUUGAACAGAAAUAAUUAACUCUUCAUGAAUAGUUAAACUGGGGGAGGUAAGAGGUGACUGCGUUUCGCAGCCAAAUAACUUUGUCCUGUGGGCUUUGCAACCAAGUUAGCUGCGUGUGGAAAGCAGGUCCCAUAGUUCUAGUCAAGCUGUGCAAAUACUCUGAGCACAUUUAAUAUAUGCAAAUUAAAUUAAUGUU
ensembl:lncRNA